rnacentral:rRNA from 1 species
CCUACGGGAGGCUGCAGUGGGGAAUAUUGGACAAUGGGCGAAAGCCUGAUCCAGCCAUGCCGCGUGUGUGAAGAAGGCCUUCGGGUUGUAAAGCACUUUCAGUGGGGAAGAAAGCCUUGGGGCUAAUACCCUCGAGGAAGGACAUCACCCACAGAAGAAGCACCGGCUAACUCCGUGCCAGCAGCCGCGGUAAUACGGAGGGUGCGAGCGUUAAUCGGAAUUACUGGGCGUAAAGCGCGCGUAGGCGGUCUGAUAAGCCGGUUGUGAAAGCCCCGGGCUCAACCUGGGAACGGCAUCCGGAACUGUCAGGCUAGAGUGCAGGAGAGGAAGGGAGAAUUCCCGGUGUAGCGGUGAAAUGCGUAGAGAUCGGGAGGAAUACCAGUGGCGAAGGCGGCCUUCUGGACUGACACUGACGCUGAGGUGCGAAAGCGUGGGUAGCAAACAGGAUUAGAUACCCUAGUAGUC